rnacentral:ncRNA from 2 species
CUAGGCUGCGUCGGUCGCUGAUUUUUCAGCGGUCGGGUUUAGCAGCCUGUUUG